AUGAUGCUCUUCUACGCCGUGACGCGCAAGCGCGGGGUGGAGCUGCCAGUCUCUGCCUUCAACUUCAUGCUCUCGUCCCUGCAGAAGAACAGGCUCCAUGGCAAGGUGAUCCACCUCUGGAAACACAUGGUGGAAAUGGAAGAAGCCAACAAUGUGGUGCCAAAUCACUUCACAUACACAGUUGUGAUCGGCUCAUUUGUGAAGGAGGGCCUGAAGGAGGCCAUGGAUGUUUUGGGGAAGAUGAGGACGUCCCGUCUUGUCCCGGAGGAGGCGAUGUAUAGCGGCCUGAUCAGCUUGAGUGCUAGGCAUGGCAGAAUGGAGCAGACAGUGGGGCUCUAUGAGGAGAUGAGAGCCCAUGGAAUUGUCCCCAGCAACUACACAUGUGCAUCCCUCCUGGGACUCUAUGACAAGAGUGAGGACUACUCGAAGGCGCUCUCGCUCUUCUUGGAGAUGGAGCAGAGCAGGGUUCUCAUUGAUGAGGUCAUCUAUGGUAUCCUGAUUAGGAUCUACGGUAAGAUCGGGCUCUAUGACGAUGCGCAGCGCACCUUCGAGGAAAUCGACAGUACGGGUCUUUUGAGUGAUGAGCAGACCUAUGUGGGAAUGGUUCAGGCAUUGCAGGUUUUGGGUUUGAUGAGGUCGAGGAAUGUGAAGCCGUUACUGUUCUCUUACGGCGCUCUUCUUCGAUGCCAUGUCGCAAUGGAGGACAUAGCUGCAACUGAAGAUGCCCUCAGAGGUCCUUGCAAAUAUGGCCUCCCUGAUGUGUUCUGCUGCAACGACCUACUGAGAUUAUAUGUCAAGCUGGGCCAGCUAGAGAUGGCAAGUGCGUUCAUUCUGAAGAUGAGAAAAGAAGAUGUCAUGCUUGAUGAGGGCCUCUGCAUGACUGUAAUGGAAGUUUGCUGCAAAAGCGGGAUGAUCGCGGAUGCCGAUAAGAUACUGAAAGAGAUGAAUAAUGGUGGAGUGACCAUGAAGAGUUUAACAAUGGUUUCUAUGAUUGAGGUGUAUGCUAGAAACAGAACCAGUGUCAUGCAGGAAAAAUAUAGUUCGUCGAAGGCGCUAGCCUGUCGGACCAACAGUUCGGCGCUGAGCGCGACGUUGAAGUCCUUGUUGGACACACCCGGGGGUGCAUCCAUCGCGUGCCAAUUGAUCAGAAAAUUGGCUAGGGAAGGGAGUACAUGUGAGGCAAAAUUCCUUCAUGAACAGCUGACUCAGUUGGGUGUCAGGCCUGAAGAUUCUGAAACAGCUACUCUGAUUGUCCAAUAUGGCCAGGAACAGAAGUUACAUCAAGCAGAGGAACUAGGGCCUGUCUACAAUGCCAUGGUCGAUGCAUUAUGCAAGUGCGGCAAAAUUGAGGAGGCGUAUCAUCUCUUUAUGAAAAUGGCUGAUCAAGGCCAUAGCAGAGAUGUUGUGACAAUUAGCAUACUUGUCAAUCACCUGACCAAACAUGGCAAUUUUUUUUCAACUGCUAACCCAUCCUUGUGCAGAAAAUUUCAGGAGGCAGAGAACAUUAUACAUGGCAGCUUCAAUGGUGACGUUGAGCUUGAUACCGUCGUGUACAAUACUUUUAUCAAGUCGAUGCUCGAGUCAGUUUUCUUGUUCAGUGUCUAUGGCCUAGGAGGAAAGCUGGAUAAGGCUGCUGAAAUGUUUACUUCUGCACAAGAACUAGGCUUACCGAUCGACGAGAAGAUAUACACAAACAUGCUUAACUUCUACGGAAAGGCUGGGACGCAUCAGGAUGCAUCUUUACUAUUCAAUAGAAUGAAGGAACUUGGUAUCAUGCCUGGAAAGACCAGUUUCAACUCCAUGAUCAAUGCCUAUGCCACUUCCAGGUUGCAUGAUAAAGCAGAGAUUGUUUUCCAAGAGAUGAAAUCACAAGGUCAAGUUCCUGACUCGAUGACAUACCUCGCAUGGAUCAGGGCAUACUCAGAAAGUAGAUGCUACUCCAAAGCUGAGGAAGCAAUCCAGAUGAUGCUGAGCAGCGGCAUAACCCCUUCAUGCCCCCAUUUCAGCCACCUCAUUUUAGCCUUUCUGAAGGAAGGCCAAAUAGAUGAAGCUCUGCUUCCAAAUGCAGGAGAUUGGUGUGGCUGUUGA
rnacentral:rRNA from 1 species